GCAUUAAUGGGGUAGUGGUAACCUGGGUCGUUGCCAUUUGAGUUGAGAAGCUCGACCCGCCGGGGGUUCGAUUCCCUCUUAAUGCA
rfam:Hypholoma sublateritium FD-334 SS-4 unplaced genomic scaffold scaffold_65, whole genome shotgun sequence.